rnacentral:lncRNA from 1 species
GAUCACCCGCUGGAACCGCGCGCAGCUAAAAAAUCCUCCGCUCGAAUCGCGGAGUCCGUUGUAACUAACCGGCAAAAUCCAGCCGGGCUGGGGAUCCUCGGCUUCGGCCAUAUAAAUGCGGGCCCCGCUACCAGGAUACACCCCCUCGAAUCCAUCUGAUAAGCCACGCCCACCACCACGGCCGAUUUAGCGGUAAGAGAGGGAGAGAGAAACGAGAAGACGAGCGCAGGAUUUGGAUCUUCAACGUGGAGGCGGGGGCAGACCACAGUGUUCUUGCGUACUACGCUGAGAUCCGUCGCGACAUCAACGAGUCUACGGGCCGGUAUAUCACCGUCGACAAGCAAGGAGCACCAUCGCGCAACACCUUCUGUGGGCAGCUCUGCUUGCGCUCCUAGCUCCACUGCUCCAGUAUGGACGCGAUCUGGCAAUUCGUUAUCUUCCCCGUACCGCGUAACACAAAUCGCGCUCUAGGCCGCGUUCUCGGACGGCUAAGCACGCCGCUCGCCAGUGCCGCACUUCUCUGGUGCGGGCGCCCACCAUGCGGGGAUGAAGGAGGAAGAAGGCGUCGGAACCGUGGAUGUCGCGAUGAACGGUCAUGAUUAAAUGGAAAGUAGUGCAAGUGACAGUCGUCGGAUCGCGAUCGUGCGGAUCGGAUCGGUUAUCGCGUAACCCUUCACCGGGAGUAAUGACAGGCGUCGAUCUCAUAUCGUGCGGAUGCAGGGUGAUCCCGGUUCAUUAAAUCUAGACGGUUGAAAUUAAAUCCGGCGACUGCUAUGCCUUACCAGUUCGGGGGUAGCAUAGGCUAAUCUGGGCCGUGUGUUUCACAUUCGACGGCUUAGAAUUCACCAUACCCUUUCGCAUAGCUCAUCUUGCAAAAGAGUCCUCGUAGUAUUGAUGAAUAAAUCCACAGUCCUGGCUACUAGAGUCUGAGUCGUUGGAUAAUUUACGCAGUAGCCCCUGAGUUUCUGUUUAUUACACGCGCAGUCCAGAGUGUGGGUAAAUCAUAACUCCUUUUAAUUCUGAAUUGACUCGUUCCAGUUGCGUUAGUCUCGUAUAAAUAUUUACUAUGCAAUAAUAACAUUUAUUGUACCAUGCUUCAUUCUUUUAUGACUAGACUUUUAUUUAACUUAUGUUGGUUAGUCUUGUUAAACUGCUUAUCAUUAUAAUAUACUAGAAUAUGAUCUAUGGUCAAUUCAUAACUUAGAUUAAAGUUGAGGUAAUUAUUUAUAGAAUAAUCUCUCAUAUAAUUUAUAUUAACCAAUUUAUAAUAUAGUUUAACUUUUUAAUCACACAGAUCUUCUAUAAAAUCAUAACUCCUCAGUAACUCCGAUUUUAGUGGUGCUGGAUCCCACGAUCUCGUAGCACCGUAGAUCAUUAUUAUGCAGUAUGUUCAUUAUGUUUGGUGUGAUGUUAAUUUUGUCUAUACCAUGUCUGUUUGUAUUGCUAUGACUAGCGCGAGGUUUCGAGGAUCUGAAGAAUCAUCCUGGUACCUGGAUUCUCAAGUGCUAGGCAAGUUGUGCCCUUGAUCACUUAUUUUUACCCAGUCAUGUUCUUAUUAAUCAUAAUGAUCUGCAUAGGUUAAUUUUGAUGGGAUCCAAUAGGUUACCCCAGUUUUUGCUAUCUUUAUACCUUGUUUUGCCACUGAAUAUUUUUGGGUAGUACUUGCUGUCACUUAUUAUGGUUUUGGGUAUGGAGAUACACUAUUCAUGAUUACACUUUUAUUAUCUGUUUAUUAUUACUGUUCAUGUUAAGAUUAUUAUGUUAAUGGGAACAUGGAGCGACCACCCGGGAAAACAGUGCUACCACAAGGGUAGUAUGGGAUGCCCUUGGCUGACUAAUUAGGAAAGCUAGUGGAUGACUACCUUACCCAAAAGGGGCAAGGGCAGUAGGGGAGUGGUCAGUGUAGGGAGGUCCUUGGGUUGAUUUUGCUGCGAUGGCGGUCAGGCGAGGGAUCCCUGCAUUGGAGCUUCCUAGAAACUGUAGCGGGUUUUCUGAAGCUAGUGGAACUUUGAAAGGCCUCGUAGUGUUACCCUGCCUCACUUUCUUGGUAGAGGUGUAUGGGAUUCAUGACCCCUUGGCAGAUGGGUAACAUGACUUGUGGGUAAAGAUGUGCAACCUCUGCAGAGUGUAAAACUGGUAUACUAGCCGUGCUCACGGUUAUGAGCAGCUCGGACACUCACAUGAUUAAUAUAUGGAAUUAAAACUCAAUUUGUCAUUUGCAUCGUGUUGGUAUUAUUUUACUAUUACUAAGGUUUGGUAUUUACAUAUACUUAGUAACUGCUAAUAAAUUUUGACAAACUUAUAAAAGCAAUGCCUAGCUUCAACCUUUAUUUUGUUGAUCAGCCUUACACUUCACAUGAACUCCCACAUUUGGUGAGUUCAUGCACAUUAUUCCCCACAACUUGUUGAGCGAUUAACAUGUGUGAGCUCACCCUUGCUGUCUCACACCCCCCACAGGAGAAGAACAGAUGGUUCAAGAGGAGCUGCUUAAUGAGGAGUUCGAUUUGAUCUAGGUGGCGUCUCCCAGUUAACUUUCUG